AUUGAACGCUGGCGGCAGGCCUAACACAUGCAAGUCGAACGAGUGGCGGACGGGUGAGUAAUGUCUGGGAAACUGCCCGAUGGAGGGGGAUAACUACUGGAAACGGUAGCUAAUACCGCAUACCAUCGGAUGUGCCCCGAUGGGAUUAGCGAGUAGGGGGGGUAACGGCCCACCUAGGCGACGAUCCCUCGCUGGGCUGAGAGGCUGUCCAGCCACACUGGAACUGAGACACGGUCCAGACUCCUACGGGAGGCAGCAGUGGGGAAUAUUGCACAAUGGGCGCAAGCCUGAUGCAGCCAUGCCGCGUGUAUGAAGAAGGCCGUCGGGUUGUAAAGUACUUUCAGCGAGGAGGCGUUACUCGCAGAAGAAGCACCGGCUAACUCCGUGCCAGCAGCCGCGGUAAUAC
rnacentral:rRNA from 1 species